rnacentral:sRNA from 1 species
GGCUUUCUUCGUGGGGGAACUCGACCCCCGCAACCGUUGAUGAUGGGCUUCAUCGACCAGAUGCGCUCGGAGGGCUUUGCCGUCGAGUCGAUCAUUCGCGUCCUGCGUGAGCAGGGCGUGAAGAUCGCGGCA